UUAAACUGAAGAGUUUGAUCAUGGCUCAGAUUGAACGCUGGCGGCAGGCCUAACACAUGCAAGUCGAGCGGUAACAGAGAGUAGCUUGCUACUUUGCUGACGAGCGGCGGACGGGUGAGUAAUGCUUGGGAACUUGCCUUUAGGAGGGGGAUAACCACGG
rnacentral:rRNA from 1 species